ensembl:lncRNA
CCUCAAAGCAGGCUGAGAAUUUGGCAAACAUGUUACAUUCUUUGUGUGCUGCAUGCAUACACAUAUAUCGAUGCGUUUUCUGUGCAGCAGCUGAUUUUGCCUGGAUUUGGAUGUGUGCUGGCCAUCUGUUUACUGGCCUUCCACUUUGGGCAGAGUGAGAUCUCAAUGGCACGAUCAGGGGAUGGAGAGUGGAAGUGUGAUGAGAGAGGAGGAGUAAGAGAGAAAGAUAAAUG